AGCUCCAAUAGCGUAUACUAAAGUUGUUGCAGUUAAAAGCUCGUAGUUGAAUUUCUGGUCGUGGCGACCGGUCCGCCCCUCGCGGGGUGUGCACCUGGUCUCUACGUCCAUCCUCGGGGAGAGCGCGUCUGGCAUUCAGUUGUCGGGCGCGGGAUCCUCGUCAUUUACUGUGAGCAAAAUAGAGUGUUCAAAGCAGGCUUAGGCCGUUGAAUACAUUAGCAUGGAAUAAUAAGAUAGGACCUUGGUCUAUUUUGUUGGUUUGCAUUCCAAGGUAAUGAUUAAUAGGGAUAGUUGGGGGUAUUCGUAUUCAAUUGUCAGAGGUGAAAUUCUUGGAUUUAUGGAAGACGAACUACUGCGAAAGCAUUUACCAAGGAUGUUUUCAUUAAUCAAGAACGAAAGAG
rnacentral:rRNA from 1 species